AUGAAUCAAUUUCUCGCAACAAUGGCGGACAAAACCCCAACCCAGGAAGCAAUCGACUAGCAAGGAGGAAUGAGAUCGGCGAUACCGGAACCACCAAGGAGAAGACAGUGACGGUGGCGCCAUCACCGGCGGCGACACCACUCGCGACAGUUCGCAGAAGCUAUCCAUCUCCAAUACCUAAGAAAAACCGUCUUCACCUCCUCAAAUUUUCUCCUAAUUGCUUCUACAACUGCUCUCAUCGUUUUUCAUUGGCCAUUUGUUGCUAAUAAGGAAUGUGCAGAACUUAUAGAUGAGUUCAUAUCUGCAGUUAAACAAAACUAUGGAGAAAAAAAAAUUCUCAUACAGGUAUGCCUUUGAUAUAGUAUAUGUUAGAUAAGAGUGUGUUAUUUACUAUAUAUUCUAAACUCCUAAAAACUUUCCAGUUAGAAGACUUUGCAAAUCACAAUGCUUUUGAUCUGCUGGCAAAGUAUUGUACUGCUUGUGUAACUUUUGCAGUCAGGGGUUGUGCUAGAUGGAACUCGGAAAAAGAUUUGGCUUGUCAACUCAAAGGCACUUGCACUAAUCUCAUCAAUUUUGAGUAGCUUCCUAAUAAUGCAUAUUUUCUUUACUGCUGCCAUGAACUUGACCUUUAUUUUCACCAGUAGAACUUGACAAUUUCUCUCUAAUUGUCUGUAAUCUUUUACCAUUUCAGCCAUUUUUUGUUACCUAACACAUUAUUGUCUUAGUAUUUGAAUGUUGGAAAAUUGUCUCACAUGCAUUUAGCAUGUUACAUUACCUAUAAUAACCAUUCAUGUAAAGGUUUUAAUUUUUUGUGUUUGUAUUUACCCAUUCUUAUAUAGGUUUGGAAACGAUUUCUCCUAAUUUGAGCAGACUUAUGGUGAUCUUGCCAGCAUGAUGAAGUUUGAGCAAAGAAAAAAAAAGCCCUUACUAGGACAGGUGAUGAGGAAGCAUCAAUAUUAGAGAGUUCACUGCAAGAUUUUGUAUCACGCUAUUAUUCCUAGUUCACUGCAAUAUGAGGAAACAUCAAUAUUAUUUUGAACCAAUAUCGGCUGUCUAAAAGGGGAGCAUGUGAGUUUUUGCAUGAAUUGAGAGGUAACUUUCGAAUU